AAGCUGUGAGUUUAGUUAGUUAGAUUUUACCUCCUCUUUGUUGAGUAAUGUGCUUUGGAUUCUUCCCGUCCCCAAGACACCCUGAAAGACCUACCAGUGAGAUAGGAUUCAAACCAGCGAAGUGGAAUCCCUGUGAUGCCCAGUGAUGAGAGCAGACAGGAGGAUCUGAUGAUUCACAGUGUCAAAAGCAGCACAUAGAUCCAGCAGAAUAAGAACUGAUGAUUUGGAAUCAGCCUUUGUGAUCCACAACCCGCAAUCACAGUUGACCGCUUCCGCUCCUUCCGGUCGUGUGUAUGUAGGGUAAAGCAGAGCUGUUUUAUCAUACUAGAUACAUGUGAGAGUUCUGUUAUAAUGCUACUCUGUGCAGCCAUCACCUGUCUAUUAAAACACACAACAUAUUAAAGCGUCUUUGGUGUUUCCAUGUUUUCUACAAAACAAAACCAGAAAUCGAGGGGUUAUGCGUCAUUGGCAGGCGACACAAUGACACUAUGGACACUUCUGUGUCACUAGUUAAAAUUGCUAAUUUCUCUGGAUUUAAACAGUCUUCAAAACAUUUGGGAUAAUGCAAGUACACAAGUCAGCAUAAUAUAUAACUGUUCUAGUGGGUUUUGGAUAUUUUAAUAAAAAAAUCAUACAUAUUGUGCCUUUAAUGACAGAAUUUUCAUUUUGGGGUGAACUAUCCCUUUAAGACUUUGAAGCCCACAGAAACUCUAUGUACAAGUAAAUUUAAUUGACAUGACACAUGAGAAAAGUUUCUGUUCACUGCUGGACGCUUCACAUCAUGAGUGUGCGUUACAGCUGAAGCACGCGCGUGUGUGUGUGUCUGUGUGUGUGUGAUCACGUGUGUUGCGUGUCACCUGUGGCGUGUGUCCCAGCAGGCUCCACAGCGUGUCAGUGAUCACACUUCCUGUUCUGCUGAACUCCAGCAGCUCUGUUUCCUGUCGGUUGAGGGCGAGAUGCUGGCAGCCCUGGAAGUCUCCGGCGAUCUCCUGACCGCUGCUCAUCUGCAGCACAUCCCAGGUGCCCAAGAGCUCCAGCCGCUCCCGCACCGCCCGCAUCUGCCCGUACGACAGGUGAACAAGAGCUGAACCGUCUUUAUCAGACGCACCUGAGAUCCAGGACGGCGUGA
ensembl:lncRNA